GACAGAGGUUGCAAGCGUUGUUCGGAAUCACUGGGCGUAAAGGGCGCGUAGGCGGUUGAUUAUGUCUGACGUGAAAGCCCCCGGCUUAACUGGGGAAGUGCAUCAGAAACUAAUCGACUAGAGUGCAAAAGAGGAUAGCGGAAUUCCCGGAGUAGAGGUGAAAUUCGUAGAUACCGGGAGGAACACCUGAGGCGAAGGCGGCUAUCUGGUUUGUAACUGACGCUGAAGUGCGAAAGCACGGGGAGCAAACAGG
rnacentral:rRNA from 1 species